GGCCAGGGAGCCGCAGGCAAGGGACUAAGGGGAGGGGGGCUCAGUGCCAGCUGCUUAAAAAUGCCCCUGUGGCAGCGAGGGGCACCAGAGGCUGGGUCUAAUUAGUUGAGAAGCAGUGACACCCCCAACCACUCCCCAAACAGGCUGGCUCCCGUCUCCAGGCCCCAAGGAGCCACACCUGGACCAGACCCCAGGAAAGGCAAGGGCGCUAGCUGGUGGGAGCCACCCCGCCAUGCUGAUGUCAGAGAAGCAAGAACUCUGGAGAAGCAGCCUCCUGGGACCAGAGGAGGGCCAGCAGCAGGCAGCCCGGAGACAGAACUCUCACCCACGCCUCUCCAAGCCUCCCAACAGAAGACAGAGGUCCCCCACAGCCAGAGACAUUUCCUGAAGACAUGGGGAACACAGAGGCAGAAACAGCCCAUCCACCCAGGAGCUGUCCCCCACACUGCCGGGAGCCGGCACCCAGAGCCGCCAGACACAAAGGAACAGAACGAGGCACCAACAGCAAGGGGCAAGCAGAUUCAAGGGCCACAGAGGAGAUGGAGGCAAACACCUUCCCCUGGUCAGAGGCUGUGCCUCAGCCCUUCUCCCUGCAUCAGUUUCUCCUUCAGAAGCAUGGGACUACCUCCCAUCUAGUUCUCGUUUCUAAACCUAGGGGAGAUGCUAUCUUUGCUGCAAUAAUCUUAGCCUACAUCUUGGAAUGGAAAUGGCCUUGGUGGAAAUGGUCUUCAACUCCUCUGGUCCAAGCUCAGGCCCUGUGACCCUGGAACAAUCCCCUUCCUGGUCCUCCAUGUAGGAGCAAUAACAUUCCCUUGCCAGCAGCACCAGCCAUUCUGAUGAUUAAAUGGUAUCGGACUCUGUUUUCC
ensembl:lncRNA CARMN cardiac mesoderm enhancer-associated non-coding RNA